UUCACUUCCGGUGUUGUCACUGUCUUCACUACCCCGUGCUUAUAUACUUUAUCUGCAGUGAUUAAAUAUAAAACCUUCUGAAGUCCAGCGGGGAGUUUUGGAGGAUCUGGAUGAGGAAGAUGAGCUCCGAUUCUUCCUCUCUGACCGUCAGAAAACAGCAGGAUGGAAUCAGGUGGUUAUGGAGAUGUUGCUGACGGGCUGCCCCAUCUCGGGCUCGGGACGCUCUUCUUCACGGGCUCACAAACUACUCACAAACUUUUUGAUUGAAUGUUUAUUCGCACACAAGCUCUUGCUUCUUCAAAUGUAAUGUCUUAAUAAAGGAAAUAGUUAAUU